UCCCUGAUGGUCCAGAGGUUAGGACUCAGCACUCUCAUUGCUGCGGCCCGGGUUCGAUCCCUGGUAGGGAU